AUGGGAGGCGAGGGAGGGGGCUCUCUGCCAACCAACUGGGUCAGCGGUUUAACGGAUGCCAGCUGUGCCUUCCCCGCUGUUACCAGCACCUCCAGAACGCAGUGCCCUAGCCCCAUGUGUGUUGACUGUCCCGUGUUCAGCUCCCGGAGCUCCCCUCCCGCCGUGGGGCCUCGUGCCCCCCCUUCCAGGAGCCUGCCGGUCACUUGUGCUGUCCCUUCCAGCCCCUCAAGUGGCACAUCCGCAGGCUUGGCUCCCCAGCCAGCCUCUGACGGCCAGGUCACCCCCAUGGACUGCACUCCCCCUUGCCAGCCUCUGCUCUUGGGGUCUCCCCCUGGCUCCAGUGGGAGCUUCUUUCCAUCUGCCCAGGCCCUUCCGAUGCCCUCCAGAGACAGCAUGGGCUCAGUCACAGCCACCACUGGCCUGCACACGCUGGGGCUCUGGAGCCACAGCCCACCUGGGAACCGUCCCCGUGGGAACCCAGGAACCCCAGCUCAGCCCACAUUCGGGGCCACUGACGGGCAGUGUCAGGGAGCCACCAGCCUUCGCAGCGCUGUCCCCUAUGGACAACGGGCAGCUCCAGCCUCAACCGCUGCCGUGGCCCUGACCUCGGCUCUAGGCCGGCUCUCCUUGGGCAGCGCCACACAGGUGGCUUUCGGGGGUUCCUGGCCCACCUCCUGCACCUCGGGGACCCAUGCUGGCACCCAGCCAGGCGUUGCUGCCACCCCAGCUGUCGUGCCCCCCGGCACGGCCACCGCCCCUAGCUCCAUGACCAAUGCUGGGCCCAACAGCCGGCAGCCCUGCCCAAUAGCUGGCGGUGCAAGCCCAGCCCCCUUGAGCUUGGGGGUUGGCGCAGCCCCCGCAGGCUUGGGGAGGAGACAGGCUGCCCCAGGUCGGAAGCGCACCUUUGGAGCUCUCAGAGUGACGCCACAAACCAGCGGGGCCCCGAGCGGCACACACCGCUCUGGGGACAGCUUGGGCCCGAACACCCGGGGCCACCCUUGCGGGAGCACCCCCAUCACCACCGCCCGAGCCAGCACUCAACACAACCCUGUGUCUGGAGCCCCGAAAGCCCCUCGUGUGAGUCCCAGCCCGAGGCACUUAGCGGCUCAGAGGCCCCCGAGGCCCAGCCCAGAGCCCAGCAGCACUGCCAGCGAGGCCACCUGCAGGGUCGCGUGGGUCCCAGGCCCUACUCCUCCCGGCUGCUGCCUCUGU
rnacentral:lncRNA from 1 species